CCCUUAGAUGUUCUGGGCCGCACGCGCGCUACACUGAUGCAUUCAACGAGUCUAAAACCUGCUCUGAUAGGGGUGGGUAAUCUUUUGAAUGUGCAUCGUGAUUGGGAUAGAUGAUUGCAAUUUUUCAUCUUCAACGAGGAAUGCCUAGUAAACGCAAGUCAUCAGCUUGCAUUGAUUACGUCCCUGCCCUUUGUACACACCGCCCGUCGCUCCUACCGAUUGAAUGAUCCGAUGAAUAUCAUGGAUUGUGGAUGCAAGCAGGUUCGCCUGUCUUCAUCUUCGAGAAGUGAAGUAAAUCUUAUCAUUUAGAGGAAGGAGAAGUCGUAACA
rnacentral:rRNA from 1 species